rnacentral:rRNA from 1 species
UACGUAGGGGGCAAGCGUUAUCCGGAAUCACUGGGCGUAAAGGGUGCGUAGGCGGCCAUUAAAGUCAGAGGUGAAAUCCCAGGGCUCAACCCUGGUAAGCCUUUGAAACUUAAUGGCUUGAGUACAGGAGAGGAGAGUAGAAUUCCUAGUGUAGCGGUGAAAUGCGUAGAUAUUAGGAGGAAUACCAGUGGCGAAGGCGACUCUCUGGACUGUAACUGACGCUGAGGCACGAAAGCGUGGGUAGCGAACAGGAUUAGAUACCCUGGUAGUCCACGCCGUAAACGAUGAGUGCUAGGUGUUGGGGGUCAAACCUCAGUGCCGCAGUUAACGCAUUAAGCACUCCGCCUGGGGAGUACGUUCGCAAGAAUGAAACUCAAAGGAAUUGACGGGGACCCGCACAAGCAGCGGAGCAUGUGGUUUAAUUCGAAGCAACGCGAAGAACCUUACCUGGACUUGACAUCCCUUGGCCCGCUUCUUAACCGAAGCUUUCCCUUCGGGGACUGAGGAGACAGGUGGUGCAUGGUU